GGGCCCGUAGCUCAGCCUGGUAGAGCGGCGGAGGACCCAGUCGGGCCUGCCGAGGCUCUUAGGGGCGGUUGCCGCCCGUAGAAACCCGUAGGUCGUGGGUUCGAAUCCCACCGGGCCCG
rnacentral:tRNA from 1 species